AUUGAGCGCUGGCGGCAUGCCUUACACAUGCAAGUCGAACGGCAGCAUGGAGAGCUUGCUCUCUGAUGGCGAGUGGCGAACGGGUGAGUAAUGCAUCGGAACGUACCGUGUAAUGGGGGAUAACGUAGCGAAAGUUACGCUAAUACCGCAUACGACCUGAGGGUGAAAGCAGGGGAUCGCAAGACCUCGCGUUAUACGAGCGGCCGAUGUCAGAUUAGCUAGUUGGUGAGGUAAAGGCUCACCAAGGCGACGACCUGUAGCGGGUCUGAGAGGAUGAUCCGCCACACUGGGACUGAGACACGGCCCAGACUCCUACGGGAGGCAGCAGUGGGGAAUUUUGGACAAUGGGGGCAACCCUGAUCCAGCCAUGCCGCGUGAGUGAAGAAGGCCUUCGGGUUGUAAAGCUCUUUCGGCCGGGAAGAAAUCGCACAGGCUAAUACUCUGUGUGGAUGACGGUACCGGCAUAAGAAGCACCGGCUAACUACGUGCCAGCCGCCGCCGUAA
rnacentral:rRNA from 1 species